rnacentral:rRNA from 1 species
CGGCCCGAACUCCUACGGGAGGCAGCAGUGGGGAAUAUUGGACAAUGGGGGCAAGCCUGAUCCAGCCAUGCCGCGUGUGUGAAGAAGGCCCUCGGGUUGUAAAGCACUUUCAGCGAGGAAGAACGCCUAGCGGUUAAUACCCGCUAGGAAAGACAUCACUCGCAGAAGAAGCACCGGCUAACUCCGUGCCAGCAGCCGCGGUAAUACGGAGGGUGCAAGCGUUAAUCGGAAUUACUGGGCGUAAAGCGCGCGUAGGUGGCUUGAUAAGCCGGUUGUGAAAGCCCCGGGCUCAACCUGGGAACGGCAUCCGGAACUGUCAAGCUAGAGUGCAGGAGAGGAAGGUAGAAUUCCCGGUGUAGCGGUGAAAUGCGUAGAGAUCGGGAGGAAUACCAGUGGCGAAGGCGGCCUUCUGGACUGACACUGACACUGAGGUGCGAAAGCGUGGGUAGCAAACAGGAUUAGAUACCCUGGUAGUCCACGCCGUAAACGAUGUCGACCAGCCGUUGGGUGCCUAGCGCACUUUGUGGCGAAGUUAACGCGAUAAGUCGACCGCCUGGGGAGUACGGCCGCAAGGUUAAAACUCAAAUGAAUUGACGGGGGCCCGCACAAGCGGUGGAGCAUGUGGUUUAAUUCGAUGCAACGCGAAGAACCUUACCUACUCUUGACAUCCUGCGAAUUUGGUAGAGAUACCUUAGUGCCUUCGGGAACGCAGAGACAGGUGC